rnacentral:lncRNA from 1 species
UGUGUUUGCUUUUAGAUCCUAAGAGUUCAUAACCCUAACUGGGUAUGAGAAUGUUCAACCUGGGUGUUAUCCUGGGUAACAGAACCAAGCUUCGGGAAAUGAGACGCUAAAGGAAAACAGCGAGGAUGAAUCUGUUAUAAAUGAAGCAACCACACAUGUACACAUUAUACCAGGAAGCUUCAGGCAUCUGCUCGCUGUGGCCUGAGACCUCUUCCUAG